rnacentral:rRNA from 1 species
ACGGUUACGAUGUCGAUUUGGAGGUUGUGCCCUUGAGGCGUGGCUUCCGAAGCUAACGCGUUAAAUCGACCGCCUGGGGAGUACGGCCGCAAGGUUAAAACUCAAAUGAAUUGACGGGGGCCCGCACAAGCGGUGGAGCAUGUGGUUUAAUUCGAUGCAACGCGAAGAACCUUACCUACUCUUGACAUCCAGCGAAUCCUGUAGAGAUACGGGAGUGCCUUCGGGAACGCUGAGACAGGUGCUGCAUGGCUGUCGUCAGCUCGUGUUGUGAAAUGUUGGGUUAAGUCCCGCAACGAGCGCAACCCUUAUCCUUUGUUGCCAGCGGUUCGGCCGGGAACUCAAAGGAGACUGCCAGUGAUAAACUGGAGGAAGGUGGGGAUGACGUCAAGUCAUCAUGGCCCUUACGAGUAGGGCUACACACGUGCUACAAUGGCGUAUACAAAGAGAAGCGAACUCGCGAGAGCAAGCGGACCUCAUAAAGUACGUCGUAGUCCGGAUUGGAGUCUGCAACUCGACUCCAUGAAGUCGGAAUCGCUAGUAAUCGUGGAUCAGAAUGCCACGGUGAAUACGUUCCCGGGCCUUGUACACACCGCCCGUCACACCAUGGGAGUGGGUUGCAAAAGAAGUAGGUAGCUUAACC